rnacentral:lncRNA from 1 species
GAGGAAGGCUGGGAGAGAGGGAGGAAACAGGAGGAAGGGAGGGUAGGCAAAAAGAGAAGAUAGCUGCCUGAUCUGUUGGUUAUCAGUUACCCAUCUAAUAUAGUCUAUUAUUAUCAUCUAUUACAGAGGGAAGAGGAGAGGGAGACAAUAUGAAUCAUAACUUUUGAAAACUUAUGUAUAAAUUUGUAACUGGAAUAAAAUGAAGAUAUUUUUUUAAAAGUGACCUCAUCAACUCUUACAGAUUCAACUAUAUCUAUGCAGAAAAAUCCCAGAUCUAUAUAUGCAGCCAUAACCUUUCUCCGGAUCUCUAAUCUCUAGUAAUUACCAGAAGCCAUAUGGACAGGUCCAACUAGAUGCCAAUAGCUGGCAAAAGAUGACAACUGAUUGGAAAGAGUCAGUGUUGGAGGGGUUGUGGAAAAUAUGAACACAUGCAUUCUUGGUGAAACUGUGAAGAGCACUUCCAUUUUGGAAAGA